rnacentral:rRNA from 1 species
GACGAACGCUGGCGGCGUGCUUAACACAUGCAAGUCGAACGAAGAGCGACGGAAGCUUGCUUCUAUCAAUCUUAGUGGCGAACGGGUGAGUAACGCGUAAUCAACCUGCCCUUCAGAGGGGGACAACAGUUGGAAACGACUGCUAAUACCGCAUACGAUCUAAUCUCGGCAUCGAGGAUGGAUGAAAGGUGGCCUCUACAUGUAAGCUAUCACUGAAGGAGGGGAUUGCGUCUGAUUAGCUAGUUGGAGGGGUAACGGCCCACCAAGGCGAUGAUCAGUAGCCGGUCUGAGAGGAUGAACGGCCACAUUGGGACUGAGACACGGCCCAGACUCCUACGGGAGGCAGCAGUGGGGAAUCUUCCGCAAUGGACGAAAGUCUGACGGAGCAACGCCGCGUGAGUGAUGACGGCCUUCGGGUUGUAAAGCUCUGUUAAUCGGGACGAAAGGCCUUCUUGCGAAUAGUGAGAAGGAUGGACGUACCGGAAUAGAAAGCC